rnacentral:tRNA from 1 species
GGAGGGAUGGCCGAGCGGUCUAAGGCGCACGCCUGGAGAGCGUGUUCACCGAGAGGUGUCGAGGGUUCGAAUCCCUCUCCCUCCGCCA